UACGUAGGGUGCGAGCGUUAAUCGGAAUUACUGGGCGUAAAGCGUGCGCAGGCGGCUUCGCAAGUCAGGCGUGAAAUCCCCGGGCUUAACCUGGGAAUGGCGUCUGAAACUACGGAGCUGGAGUGUGGCAGAGGGAGGUAGAAUUCCACGUGUAGCGGUGAAAUGCGUAGAUAUGUGGAGGAAUACCGAUGGCGAAGGCGGCCCCCUGGGCCGGCCCUGACACUGAGACGCGAAGGCGUGGGGAGCGAACGGG
rnacentral:rRNA from 1 species